rnacentral:rRNA from 1 species
AAUCAACGCUGGCGGCGUGCCUCAGACAUGCAAGUCGAACGCGAAAGUCCCCUUCGGGGGAUAAGUAGAGUGGCGCACGGGUGAGUAACACGUAGGUAAUUUACCUUCGGGUGGGGAAUAACCCAGGGAAACUUGGGCUAACACCGCAUAAUGCAGCGGCACCACAUGGUGACAGUUGUUAAAGCGGGGGAUUUUCGGACCUCGCGCCUGAAGAGAAGCCUGCGGCGGAUUAGCUAGUUGGUAAGGUAACGGCUUACCAAGGCGACGAUCCGUAACCGGCCUGAGAGGGCGGUCGGUCACACUGACACUGACAUACGGGUCAGACUCCUACGGGAGGCAGCAGUCGGGAAUUUUGGGCAAUGGGCGAAAGCCUGACCCAGCAACGCCGCGUGAAGGAUGAAAUCCCUCGGGAUGUAAACUUCGCAAGAAUAGGAAGAAUUAGUAGGGGCUAAUACCCCCUAUGAUGACGGUACUAUUUGUAAGCUCCGGCUAACUCCGUGC